CUUUACUUUAAGAGUUAUAUGCUACGUUUUAUUUUUAAAGAUUAAGAGCAGUAAUAAAUAUUAGAGACUAAUUUAUUAGGUCUAGCUAUAAAGUAUAUAAGAGGACUAUCCUGUGCCAGCAUCCGCGGUCAUACAGGAUCUUAAAGGGAUUUUUAUAAGAGAAUUUCUUUUUCUUUUGAAAUGAUUUUUAGGAGUUAAAAGGUGAAAUUUGUAUUUGAUUGUUAUUUAUUUUGGGGAAUAGAGUUAGGGUAGAUUUAAAACUGGGAUUAGAUACCCCACUAUUUUAUCUUAUAUUCUUGGGUAGUAAUAUUGAAACCUAAAGAAUUUGGCGGUUUUUGAACUCUCUAGAGGAAUCUGUCCUAUAAUCGAUAGCCCACGAACUUAUUUACCUAUUCUUGUUUUCAGGCUUAUAUACCGCCGUUUAGGGAACUAAAUGAAUAGAUUUCCAAGAUUAAUUAGUUAAUAAAAUCAGGUCAAGGUGUAGCUUAUGGAUAGGAAGAGAUGGAUUACAAUAAAAUUUUAAACGAACGUUGAAACUUACGUUUGCCCAGAAGGUGGAUUUAGAAGUAAAAAUAAAAGUUUGGGAAAUGAGCUCUUGAAAAUGUACACAUCGCCC
rnacentral:ncRNA from 1 species